AAUGCAAGGUGCAAUUUCACUGUUCAUGAGAGCCAUUAAUUUUUUUGGUACCGUCUGCUUGCUUUUGGGCCUAUUGCAUUCUUGGGCUGCAGUGGAGGAUCUCAUCUGAAUCUUCAUGUAGGGUUAGGAAUUAGGUUACUCAAAACCUACUUGCCUCUUCCUGUGGUUUCCGGCCGCCGCCGUCGCCACUGAACCUAUUGCUCCUUUUUUCGUCCGUCACAGAUGUAGGAGCUCACCCCUCUCACCGGCCAGCUGUUCCAGCGUUUGUGCAUCGAUGCCCGAUCCCUAAGGACAUAUUCUCUUCCUGUAGUAGCUCUCAUCAUCCAGCCAGUUUUCAUGGCUUUUAACCCAUAGCUGCGAGUGUAACAAUCCGUAGGUACCUUCAAGCUACUAAAACCAGCUGGAAGUUCUUCUUUACAGAACUCCAAUGGCAUAUUAGAACAGAAGAAAUGGAUUUGAUAGCCAAGAGGUGCAUUGGUGCUCAUGAUAGUGGGAGUGUUUUGUGGUUCUUCUUUAUUUUUUGUUUUGGUGGUUGGUUGUAGGGUGUAGUUUUGAAAAGGAUUGUUUCCAUGAAGGAAGAAACUUUGGACAUAUUAUUGGUUUUGAUUACAAAUUCGUAACAAGACAUCAUAUGGAUAUCUAAAAAUACAACAUUUCCUUGCUUGAGCUUCGUAAAAAUUGAAGGUGUAGUUCUUUAAUGUAGUUGCUUCAGACUGCUUCUUGCUUUUGUUUUGAUGCAAUUUAGACACAUUUGGAAUAAAAGGACAAAUGUCUCUGAUUUGUUCUUUACAUGGAUUUUCCGUUCUGGCUUUAAAGGCAUUGGUCUCUCUUUUAUUCCUCACGUACUCUUUUCUUUCUCUUUUUUUCUCAUUAUUGGGACGAAAUUAGCUCCGAUGCUUCAUGAUUAUCUUUUAUUUUGUCAUCAUCAGGUUCAACAGGGAGCAAAUAUUUGGUGGCUGUGAUUUACAUACGACAUGAUACUAUGAGGGGUUAUCAAAAGCUUGAAUAAAUUGGAUUUGGAAUUUGAUGUCAUUGUAUUGCCGUGCAAGCUAAGAUCUAAUACUUUAAGUUUGCUGACAAAGGUUGUGAUGUUUUUGUAAACUUUCUGAUUUUCUAAUUUUUGGGUUAGCUCUCUCUCUCUCUCAUGAUAGAAUUUCAUUGACAUCCAUUUGCUUGGUUUGAUCAGUAUGUGCUCCUUUGUUUUAUCCAUCACAUGAAGCAUAUCAAAUUGUUCGCCAAAUUUUGGGAUUUAUCAAUGACUAAAUUUCUAUUUGGUGCACUGUGGAAUUAGUUUUCAUGAAAUUUACUUGAAUAAAUUGGAUUUGGAAUUUGAUGUCAUUGUAUUGCAGUGCAAGCUAAGAUCUAAUACUUUAAGUUUGCUGACAAAGGUUGGACCUUUAAACCAUAUAACAAAUCCUGGUAGAGACCAUUUUUUUCCUUUAGCCUUAUAACCCAAGGAUUGAAAAUAAUGGGUUGAGUGAAUAUCAACAAUGUCUAAGUCACACUUCAUAAGCUAGAUAAAUAAUGCAGUGAUUUUAGGUUUCUAUGUUUUGUUACCUAUAUAAGUUUUGGAAAGCAGUCCUACUUAUGUAAUAUGUUUUUACUAUAACCUUUUACCACUUUUAUUGUGGUUGUUGCUUCAAAAGCAUUCAUGUAGUUGGAGAGACUUAAAAAGUAUAUGUUCAUCAUCUAUGUAGGAUUGUGAACCUAGAGCAUUAGUUCCAAUUGCAGUCCCAUCUCUUCCCGGAAUUUCUUGAUUAGUUCCAGCUCUUUUAGAGAAAGCUUAUUGAGAUUCACUUUAGUAAAACUGGAAAAACCUUUGGUUUUAACAAUCAAGCAUGUAAGUUCUCUGCUAUUUAGUUUUUCAAAAAACCUCGUUUCUUCUUCUUUGAUUUAUCCAGUAAUUGAGUCAUGGGGAUAGGAUAUAACGUUUCACAUAGAUAUUGAUUUUCUUAGGUUCCUUUUUUUUUAUAUAUUGAUUUUUGUUCUAAUCAAUUCCUCAUUUUAAACUCAAUGGAAACAAUCAGCAAGGCAGAGUCACAGGUGACAAGUGUUUGUGUGGUGAACAAGGGAACUGGAACUCCAUUUAUCUCAGGAUUGGAACUUAGACCACUUAGUAGUUCAAUUUAUAAUACUGACUUUGGGGAAUCUGCUUCACUUUUGCUAUAUAAAAGAUGGGACAUGGGGUCAACCAAUGGAAAUGGUAGAUAUGAAGAUGAUAUUUAUGAUAGAAUUUGGUUCCCUUACAAUUCCUCUACCUGGGAAUCGGUCAGCACUUCUUACAAGAUAAAUGUCAAUGGUGAUGGCUAUAGAGCUCCAUUUGAAGUCAUCAGAACUGCUGCUAGACCAAGAAAUGGCAGUGAUACUUUGGAAUUUUCAUGGACCCCAGAUGAACCAAGUUGGGAAUUUUAUGUCUACUUGUACUUUGCUGAAGUGGACGAUCUUCACAAAAACCAACCCAGGAAAUUCAAUAUAUCCUGGAAUGGAUCUCCUUUAGUUGAAUCAUUUGUACCACAAUACUUGCAUGCAACCACUCUUUCUAAUUCAAAACCCUUGGUGGCGAGUAAACAUAGAAUUUCUAUACACAAAACAGAAGAUUCAACCCUUCCACCUAUUCUUAAUGCAGUUGAGAUUUAUGUAGUAAGACAACGGGAUGAACUUCCAACAUUUGAACAAGAUGGCAUGCCAUCAAUUUUUCUCUUGGCUAAACUGCCUACCAAGCUAGCAAUUGAAUAAGACACACUUUGGUGCAACCUUGCCAAAGUAUUACAAAUCUUUUCAGUUUGAAUGAUUAUUCAUUUUUAUGUGAUUUCAACCAUAUUUAAACACAGUUGAUGAUGUGAUGUCCAUAAAAGAAAGUUAUAGAAUCCAAAGAAAUUGGGUAGGUGAUCCUUUUGAGCCAGAGAACUACAAGUGGGAGGGCUUAAAACGCAACUAUAGCACUUCACUUCCUGCCAUAAUCAUAUCACUGUAACCCCUAUCAUUGACCAUUGUUAAUUUGCAACAGGUUCAGUUCAAGAGAAUCAUUGCACCCUUAAAGAAUCAUACAAAGUUUCUUGGUAUGCAUUUUCUUUCAUAUAAGUGCUCUUAGGGGUUUGAUGAGUCGUUGUGUGUUUGUACUGAUCACUGACUCUCAUGUUUUAUGAAUUCAACUUAUAAAACAUUGCUUCACUUAGCUUCUACUGAAGGUCAUUUAUUCAGGGAGCAACACGAAUCUGAGCUGCAUUUGUUUAGAGACCGGCAAGUGAUCCAGCCUGUUUGAGAGAUGAGGCUCGGCAUAGGGUUUUGGGUUCGGCAUCUAAUGUUACUAUGGCUGAACUUUGUAAAUAUAUGGAGAAGUAGUUGUAAAAUCAAUCAGUCAAAUGUAAGUUAUUGGAGUAAUUAAAUUGGACAUUUUCCAGGGAUCUCAUGGUUGUUACUCUUUGGGAUGGUGCUUGAGUUAUUGCUAUGAAAAAGGUCUCAAAUCAUAAUCUUGAUUAUUUUGAUGCAACAAAAUAUUCUAUAGCACAAACUUCUUAAACUAAGGGGUUAAAGUGUGUUAAGAUAGAAAAGUGAUGUAUAUUUAACAAUUGACUAUAGUAGUUCAUUAUUGAGAUUUGAGACUAAUGCUACA